GGGAAUGUGGCUCAGUGGUAGAGUGCUUGCUUUACAUGCAUGAAGCCCUGGGUUUGAUUCCCUGGUACCA
rnacentral:tRNA from 1 species